UACAGAGGAUGCAAGCGUUAUCCGGAAUGAUUGGGCGUAAAGCGUCUGUAGGUGGCUUUUUAAGUCCGCUGUGAAAGCCCGGGGCUUAACCCCGGGUCGGCAGUGGAUACGGGCAGGCUAGAGGUAGGUAGGGGAGAAUGGAAUUCCCGGUGUAGCGGUGAAAUGCGCAGAUAUCGGGAGGAACACCGGUGGCGAAGGCGGUUCUCUGGGCCUUACCUGGCGCUGAGGAGCGAAAGCGUGGGGAGCGAACAGG
rnacentral:rRNA from 1 species